rnacentral:rRNA from 1 species
UGGUGGAGUGAUUUGUCUGGUUAAUUCCGUUAACGAACGAGACCUUAACCUGCUAAAUAGUUGAAGGAAAUGUCUUUAGAUGAGCUGAAGCGAGGUGUGCUUUCCGGGGUGCUUUCGGGUGCUUCGGACAUGCGGCGUGGAUACUCUGAUUGUUUCCUGAUGUGCAACUUCUUAGAGGGACUAUUGGUUUCCAGCCAAUGGAAGUUUGAGGCAAUAACA